UACGAAGGGGGCUAGCGUUGUUCGGAAUUACUGGGCGUAAAGCGCACGUAGGCGGAUUGUUAAGUUAGAGGUGAAAGCCCAGGGCUCAACCCUGGAAUUGCCUUUGAUACUGGCAGUCUUGAGAUCGGUAGAGGUGAGUGGAAUUCCUAGUGUAGAGGUGAAAUUCGUAGAUAUUAGGAAGAACACCAGUGGCGAAGGCGGCUCACUGGACCGAUUCUGACGCUGAGGCACGAAAGCGUGGGGAGCAAACAGG
rnacentral:rRNA from 1 species